rnacentral:lncRNA from 1 species
UGCUUUGUUUUCUUCCUCUCUCGUUUCCACGUUCAGCAUAGAGCACUUCACAAAUCCAUAUUUUUUUCUGCCACCGUUCAAGAUAUUUUGCGAUGAGUUUCGUGCUUAAAUGGCAGAAAGAAUGAAGAGAGUGGGGACUGUUUUGGUUGCCGCUGUUCACGUUUGCCUGUUAAUCUAAUUACCAAGGGAUUUGGACAAGAAAAGGUUUAAAUUCAUUUGAAAGAAGAGUGUGUGAGAAGUCAGAGCAGCUAAAGCCCCCUCUGGGGCUCCCAGAGCUGUUUUCUGGAGUGAGCAUGGUUGGAGCUGAAGGAAGGCCUGCUCUGUGCAAGAAGUUUAACUCUUCCUGGGAUGAAGCAACUCCUUCUGAGGCCCUUUCUCGGGACACAAAACAAACACAUUCCCUCCUACAUACGUGGAUUCUGACCAGUUGAGCAUUUGUGAGAAGCCAUUAGGACUGAAGGCCAAAAUGAUCGUGGUGCUCGCUUUGUGCAACCCAUCACAGAUAUGGAGAAGUCACUGAGACCAGUCAGGGCAUGUAGCCUCGUGAGCAGCGUGUGGAGGCUCGUCCUGGUUGCUACUAAUGUUUCAGAAGACUUCAGCAGGCCAACCACUCAGGUGACUUUUAGAAUGUAUCUAACCAAGAAGAGGUGAGUAUUGCACAGGAGAGUAACUUAAAGCCAGC